rnacentral:rRNA from 1 species
AUUGAACGCUGGCGGCAGGCCUAACACAUGCAAGUCGAGCGGAUGAAGGGAGCUUGCUCCUGGAUUCAGCGGCGGACGGGUGAGUAAUGCCUAGGAAUCUGCCUGGUAGUGGGGGAUAACGUCCGGAAACGGGCGCUAAUACAGCAUACGUCCUGAGGGAGAAAGUGGGGGAUCUUCGGACCUCACGCUAUCAGAUGAGCCUAGGUCGGAUUAGCGAGUUGGUGGGGUAAAGGCCUACCAGGGCGACGAUCCGUAACUGGUCUGAGAGGAUGAUCAGUCAAACGGGACCUGGGCCCCGGUCAGGCCUCCUCCGGGAGCCAGCGGUGGGGAUUAUUGGCCAAUGGGCGAAACCCUGCUCCAGCCCUGCCGCGUGUGUGAAGAAGGUCUUCGGUUUGUAAAGCCCUUUAUGUUGGGAGGAAGAGCAGUAAGUUAAUUCCUUGCUGUUUUGCCGUUACCAACAGAAUAAGCACCGGCUACCUUCGU